rnacentral:rRNA from 1 species
CCUACGGGGGCUGCAGUGGGGAAUAUUGGACAAUGGGCGAAAGCCUGAUCCAGCCAUGCCGCGUGUGUGAAGAAGGCCUUCGGGUUGUAAAGCACUUUCAGUGGGGAAGAAAGCCUUGGGGCUAAUACCCUCGAGGAAGGACAUCACCCACAGAAGAAGCACCGGCUAACUCCGUGCCAGCAGCCGCGGUAAUACGGAGGGUGCGAGCGUUAAUCGGAAUUACUGGGCGUAAAGCGCGCGUAGGCGGUCUGAUAAGCCGGUUGUGAAAGCCCCGGGCUCAACCUGGGAACGGCAUCCGGAACUGUCAGGCUAGAGUGCAGGAGAGGAAGGUAGAAUUCCCGGUGUAGCGGUGAAAUGCGUAGAGAUCGGGAGGAAUACCAGUGGCGAAGGCGGCCUUCUGGACUGACACUGACGCUGAGGUGCGAAAGCGUGGGUAGCAAACAGGAUUAGAUACCCGGUAGUC